AGCUAGGCCCACUCGACACCUUUGGACAAAGAUUUAAGGGUUAUUAUUGUUUAAAUGCAUCAAUUUUGAAUUUUAACAUGGAUUUUUUGGUUUUUUAUUUUUUAUUUAAAUAUGCGAAUUUUAAUACACUUAAUUUUUACAACGAUCUACAUCCUGUAAAUAGAGUUGUCAACUGGGCUAGGGCCAGCCCGGCCCGGCCCAGGCCCGGUUGAGCCCGAGAUUAGGCUGCAGCCGCCUCACAUUGAAAUGGCCGGCUGGGGUUACGUCCAAGCCUAGCGGGUCCUAAGCUAGGCCCACUCGACACCUUUGGACAAAGAUUUAAGGGUUAUUAUUGUUUAAAUACAUCAAUUUUUCGACACCUUUGGACAGAGAUUUAAGGGUUAUAAGAAUAAUUUAAUUCAUGGUUUAUAUGUUAAACACUAAUUUUACAACGAUCACUACCUGUAAAUUGAAUAUGCGAUGACAUAUUUGAAAGAUGAUUACGACUCAUAUGUCCUCAAUGAAUUCUAAUC
rnacentral:lncRNA from 1 species